UACGGGGGGAGCAAGCGUUGUUCGGAUUUACUGGGCGUAAAGCGCGCGUAGGCGGCCCGGUAAGUCCGCUGUGAAAGUCAAAGGCUCAACCUUUGAAUGCCGGUGGAUACUGUCGGGCUAGAGUCCGGAAGAGGCGAGUGGAAUUCCUGGUGUAGCGGUGGAAUGCGCAGAUAUCAGGAGGAACACCAAUAGCGAAGGCAGCUCGCUGGGACGGUACUGACGCUAAGGCGCGAAAGCGUGGGGAGCGAACAGG
rnacentral:rRNA from 1 species